CAAGUGAACUCUCCAGGUAGAGUGUGUGCACUAAUUAGAUGAGUGCUGGUAUCAACAGAUACGUGUACAUUUCUUAGUUUUUCAAAUUCAGGAAUGUGUAUAAUAUCUAUUUGCCAUAACUAAUUAGGUUCUUGUUUUCUAGGGUUAUCACUUGUUGAAGAAGGGGACAUGCCUGUGAGCUGGCAAUCUGGGCAUUACAAGAUAAUUAUUUAGCUAGUCUUUGGUGUCUCUCUGUGUUGCACAGGCUAGAGUUGAAGUGGCACAACUCUAGCUCACUGCAGCCUCAAACUCCGGGGCUCAAGUAAUCUUCCUGCCUCAGCCUUCUAAAGUGCUAGGAUUACAGGUCUCCAGCCUGCCCACCCUGCAGAUUUUGGACAUGACACCUCCACAAUCAUAUAAAGAACAUGUACCACAAAAAUCUACAACAGUUAUACUAAUUGAGAAGACCUUGACAACUUUAUCCUGGAAUCAGAUUUAUGCAUAA
rnacentral:lncRNA from 13 species